rnacentral:lncRNA from 1 species
AAAAAAUAAAAAAAUAAAAAUAAAUAAAAAAAUAAAUAAAAUAUAACAGAAAAAUCUUGGACUUGGACCUCUCUCUUUUGAGCCCACAAAGUCACAAAAAUCGGGUUAUAAAUUCUAGACUUCCAUCUCCCAAAAAACCCUGGGGAAAAAGAUAGUGAGAGAAGAGCUAACAGAGUUCAGAGCAACCUCCAGAGACUGAAGGGAACUCAUCUGCAAAGAACCAA